AGUCCAUCUGGAGGCAAUAGGAAAUCAGACUGACUGGGUUAUAAAUCCAGAUGAAACCUCCAAGGAAGAGCGCCUUGUCUGCACCAUCUGUUCAGACUGAGCCGGAUGUGAAAUAUAAGGUGUCACUGGCACGAUCCCCGGAGGACUGUCACCGAAGGAUCCUCCUUCAAAUUGCCUUCAAUUUAUCACCGGCUGCUUUAAUUCCUUUCCAUGCUGUUCAUCAUUGUGUCGUCUGCCUUCCAGUUCCCCUUGGUCUUUAAACACAUCAGUGACCCGGCUGACCAGCUUGGCACACUCACAGAACAUUGCCUGCGUUCUCAGAUGCCUACUCCUCCCCGCCCUGCUAGAUUUACACUUACAAAGCUAUGCUGGGUGAAUACUGAUGACCUGUAAAAUGUGCAGCCCAGGGCUUUGACUAGCCUGGAACUACCUGCAUAUACCACACUGUUUUGAACUCACAGAGAUCCACCUGCCUCUGCUUCUCAAGUUCUGAAAUUUAAGGCAUACACCACAUGCCC